CUAGAGCGCAGCACGUUACCUGUUUUACUCCUGCAGCGUUGUCAAUUGUGCAUAUUUGGCACCAUAUUUGGUACAUUAUGAGCUUUUUGUUUCUGUGUUAGCAUAGCAGGCUAAUGCUUACGCCCCCUCGCGAAUAUGAAGACGCUCAUUGUGGGAGUGGGUGGAAUGACCAAUGGAGGAAAAUCCACUCUUUCCAAAACUUUACAAGAGAAGAUACCCACCAGCUGCAUCAUUGCACAGGAUUCAUUUUUUAAGGAUGAUUCUGUGGUUCCUGUGGAUGAUAAUGGCUUCAAGCAGUAUGACACGCUCGACGCUCUCCACAUGGAUGCCAUGAUGAGCCGGGUUGACGCCUGGCGAAGAGACCCGCAAGCUUUCCUGAGAGAAACCGGUCAGACUGCGGAGAGGAUGACGUUGUCAGCUGACCACGUGUUCGUGCUGAUCGUGGAAGGCUUCCUAAUAUUCAAUCACAGACCUUUGAAUGAGCUGAUGGACAAAAGAUACUUCAUGGAAAUACCGUAUGACAUUUGCAAGGACAGACGAAGUUUGAGGGUAUACAAGCCGCCUGACCCUCCAGGCUACUUUGACGGACACGUAUGGCCCAUGUAUCUGAAGAAUCGGCAGAAGAUAGAGCAUACGGUGGUGGGAAUCGUUAAAUCUUCCUUAGCUCUUCCAGUACCACCAUCAUUACCCAUUGAAAAUACAGGAGCGAAGAAGGCCUAAGUGUUCAUGAAAGAUAAGGAACAGGUUUUAUUUUUAAAAAGUAUAUUUGAUUUUAUUGUAAGCCAAUGUAAUGAAGAUUAGCUGAAGUAAGACAGAAUAUAUGCGCAUGAAUGAGAGGGGUGGUGGGCGAAGAGUGAGGCUACAGGGAGAAUAGAUAGCAAGGGUGGAGGACUUUAAAUACUUGGGGUCCACCGUCCAGAGCAAUGGUGAGUUUGGUUAGGAAGUGAAGAAACGGGUCCAAGCAGGUUGGAAGGUGUGGCGGAAGGUGUGAGGUGUGUUAUGUGACAGAAGAGUCUCUGCUAGGAUGAAGGGCAAAGUUUAUAAAACAGUGGUGAGGGCAGCCAUGAUGUACAGAUUAGAGACAGUGGCACUCAAGAGACAACAGGAAGCAGAGCUGGAGGUGGCAGAAAUGAAGAGGUUGAGCUUCGCUCUCGGAGUGACCAGGUUGGAUAAAAUUAGAAGUGAGGUCAUCAGAGGGACAGCCGAGGUUCGAUGUAUUGGAGACCAAGUUAGAGAGAGCAGACUUCAAUGGUUUGGACACGUCUGGAGGAGAAAUAGUGAGUAUAUUGGUAGAAGGAUGAUGAGGAUGGAGCUGCCAGGCAAGAGAGCUAGAGGAAGACCAAAGAGAAGGUUGAUGGAUGUCGUGAGGGAAGACAUGAGGGCAGUUGGUGUUCGAGAUGAGGAUGCUGGAGAUAGGCUUACAUGGAAAAGGAUGACGCGCUGUGGCGACCCCUAAAGGGACAAGCCGAAAGGAAAAGAAGACGAUUUGUUUUUGGACGGAAUGAAGUCAAAGGAGGAGCUGAUGGCUGUUGUAUUUCAAGAUGUUAGUCAGGAAAUAAAUAUGCUGAGAGG